rnacentral:rRNA from 1 species
AACGAACGCUGGCGGCAGGCCUAACACAUGCAAGUCGAACGGCACCUUCGGGUGUAGUGGCGGACGGGUUAGUAACGCGUGGGAACGUACCCUUCUCUGCGGAAUAGCCACUGGAAACGGUGAGUAAUACCGCAUACGCCCUUCGGGGGAAAGAUUUAUCGGGGAAGGAUCGGCCCGCGUCUGAUUAGAUAGUUGGUGGGGUAAUGGCCUACCAAGUCUACGAUCAGUAGCUGGUUUUAGAGGAUGAUCAGCAACACUGGGACUGAGACACGGCCCAGACUCCUACGGGAGGCAGCAGUGGGGAAUCUUAGACAAUGGGCGCAAGCCUGAUCUAGCCAUGCCGCGUGUGUGAUGAAGGCCUUAGGGUCGUAAAGCACUUUCGCCCAG